UACGUAGGGGGCAAGCGUUGUCCGGAAUCAUUGGGCGUAAAGCGCGUGUAGGCGGCCCGAUAAGUCCGCUGUGAAAGUCCAGGGCUCAACCCUGGGAUGCCGGUGGAUACUGUCGGGCUCGAGUCCGGAAGAGGCGAGUGGAAUUCCCGGUGUAGUGGUGAAAUGCGUAGAUAUCGGGAGGAACACCAGUGGCGAAGGCGACUACCUGGCCUGUUCUUGACGCUGAGGCGCGAAAGCUAGGGGAGCAAACGGG
rnacentral:rRNA from 1 species